UACGGAGGGUGCGAGCGUUGUCCGGAAUCAUUGGGCGUAAAGCGCACGUAGGCGGUCUUUUAAGUCUCAUGGUGAAAGGCUGGGGCUCAACCCCAUGCAUGCCGGGGAUACUGGGAGACUGGAGACAGGCAGAGGCCAGCGGAAUUCCGGGUGUAGCGGUGGAAUGCGUAGAGAUCCGGAAGAACACCGAUGGCGAAGGCAGCCUCUGGGCCAACACUGACGCUCAUGCACGAAAGCGUGGGGAGCAAACAGG
rnacentral:rRNA from 1 species